rnacentral:rRNA from 1 species
GACGAACGCUGGCGGCGUGCCUAAUACAUGCAAGUAGAACGCUGAAGGAGGAGCUUGCUUCUCUGGAUGAGUUGCGAACGGGUGAGUAACGCGUAGGUAACCUGCCUGGUAGCGGGGGAUAACUAUUGGAAACGAUAGCUAAUACCGCAUAAGAGUAGAUGUUGCAUGACAUUUGCUUAAAAGGUGCAAUUGCAUCACUACCAGAUGGACCUGCGUUGUAUUAGCUAGUUGGAGGGGUAACGGCUCACCAAGGCGACGAUACAUAGCCGACCUGAGAGGGUGAUCGGCCACACUGGGACUGAGACACGGCCCAGACUCCUACGGGAGGCAGCAGUAGGGAAUCUUCGGCAAUGGACGGAAGUCUGACCGAGCAACGCCGCGUGAGUGAAGAAGGUUUUCGGAUCGUAAAGCUCUGUUGUAAGAGAAGAACGAGUGUGAGAGUGGAAAGUUCACACUGUGACGGUAUCUUACCAGAAAGGGACGGCUAACUACGUG